UACGUAGGGGGCAAGCGUUGUCCGGAUUUAUUGGGCGUAAAGAGCGUGUAGGCGGCCUGAAAGGUCAGCUGUGAAAACUCGAGGCUCAACCUCGAGACGUCGGUUGAAACCAUCUGGCUAGAGUCCGGAAGAGGAGUGUGGAAUUCCCGGUGUAGCGGUGAAAGUGCGCCAGAUAUCGGGAAGAACACCCGUGGCGAAGGCGGCACUCUGGGACGGUACUGACGCGUGAGACGCGAAAGCGUGGGGAGCGAACGAGG
rnacentral:rRNA from 1 species